rnacentral:rRNA from 1 species
UACCAGCACCCCGAGUGGUCGGGACGUUUAUUGGGCCUAAAGCGUCCGUAGCCGGUUCUACAAGUCUUCCGUUAAAUCCACCUGCUUAACAGAUGGGCUGCGGAAGAUACUAUGGAGCUAGGAGGCGGGAGAGGCAAGCGGUACUCGAUGGGUAGGGGUAAAAUCCGUUGAUCCAUUGAAGACCACCAGUGGCGAAGGCGGCAUUCUGGACCAUUACUGACGCUGAGGAGCGAAAGCCAGGGGAGCAAACGGG